UACAAGUCUUCAUUCUCUCCUCCUCUUUAAAAAUAUUUCUCCAUAUUAUUAAGGCUUUUUAAGGCUUUCGAAUUUCAAUAAAGAAUCACGUUUUCAGCAAUUUUGUUUUUCACGUUCAUCUUCAAAAGGUGAGAUGCUCAGUGCUAUUAGUGGUUUGUCCACAUCUUUUCAAAUACGUUGUUAUGUAUGGAUUUAAUUACUUCAGUUCAGAGCUCCUUUGGGAGAAAUCAUGAUACAGUUUAAGGCACAAUUUUAGCCUUCACGUUAUUUGCAGCGCUUGCUUGAAUUAUCAUUUGUCAUGGUGUGAUAAUUCUCAUGUUAUGUUGGUAAGAGAAUUUAUGCAUAAUUUCACGUUUGAUUUGAAUGUGGAGUAGCAAGCAUCUCAUUGAGUAUAAUUCGUUAUACUCAUCCCUCUCUAUUUACAAUUUUCAGGUAGAAAUUAGUAUGCUGGACGGCGAUGGAUGGAUGCAUAUUGGACCAAUGGAUCUCCAUCAUGAAGUACUUUAAUUUUUAGAAACACUAGAAUAUUUAAUAACAGUUGAUUAUUAUUAUUUUUAAAUUUAGACUCAAUUGUGAGUCACGUCAUAACUUUCAAUUAGUCCUAUUUUUAUUAUUUGUUAGAACUACUUUUAUUAAUGUUUGAUAAAAGAUAUGAUUCCAAAUUGUUC
rnacentral:lncRNA from 1 species